GCCCGGAUGGUCUAGUGGUAUGAUUCCUGCUUCGGGUGCAGGAGGCCCCGCGUUCGAAUCGCGGUUCGGGCC